CAGGGGAUAUUUUAUAUAAAAUGUUAGUUUUGGGGACUAGUGAAAUGGUUUGUUUACCUUUCCUCUGA
rnacentral:tRNA from 1 species